rnacentral:rRNA from 1 species
UGGGGAAUAUUGCACAAUGGGCGCAAGCCUGAUGCAGCCAUGCCGCGUGUAUGAAGAAGGCCUUCGGGUUGUAAAGUACUUUCAGCGAGGAGGAAGGCGUUGUGGUUAAUAACCACAGCGAUUGACGUUACUCGCAGAAGAAGCACCGGCUAACUCCGUGCCAGCAGCCGCGGUAAUACGGAGGGUGCAAGCGUUAAUCGGAAUUACUGGGUGUAAAGCGCACGCAGGCGGUCUGUCAAGUCGGAUGUGAAAUCCCCGGGCUCAACCUGGGAACUGCAUCCGAAACUGGCAGGCUAGAGUCUUGUAGAGGGGGGUAGAAUUCCAGGUGUAGCGGUGAAAUGCGUAGAGAUCUGGAGGAAUACCGGUGGCGAAGGCGGCCCCCUGGACAAAGACUGACGCUCAGGUGCGAAAGCGUGGGGAGCAAACA